AGUCCCGUAGCUCAGGGGAUAGAGCGUCACACUGCGGAUGUGAAGGUCGGAGGUUCGAAUCCUCUCGGGACUGC
rnacentral:tRNA from 6 species